rnacentral:rRNA from 1 species
CCUGGUUGAUCCUUCCAGUAGUCAUGCUUAUCUCAAAGAUUAAGCCAUGGAUGUGUAAGUAUGAACUAAUUUAGGUUGUGAAACUGCGAAUGGCUCAUUAAAUCAGUUAUAGUUUAUUUGAUGGAAUUUUUUACUCAGAUAACUGUAGUAAUUCUAGAGCUAAUAUGUGAAACAAUCCCCGACAUCUGGAACAGAUGCAUUUAUUAUAUAGAAGGUCGACGCGGGCUUUGCCCAUUGCUCUGAUGAUUCAUGAUAACUCGACGGAGUGCAUGACCUUUGUGUCGGUGAUACAUCAUUCAAAGUUCUUCCCUAUAAACUUUUGAUGGUAGGAUAGUGGCCUACUAUGGUGGUGAUGGUUGACGAAGAAUUAGGGUUCCAUUAUAGAGAGGCAGCCUAAGAAAUGACUACCACAUCCAAGGAAAGAAGUAGGCACGCAAAUUACUCAAUCCUAACACGGGGAGGUAGUGACAAUAAAUAACAAUACUGGUCUCUACGAGUCUGGUAAUUAAAAUGAGUAAAAUUUAAACCCCUUAAUGUGGAUCCAUUGAAAGGCAAGUCUGGUGCCAGUAGCCAUGGUAAUUCUAGCUCCAAUAGCAAAUAUUUAAGUUGUUGCAGUUAAAAAGCUCAUAGUUGGACCUAGUGGUGGGUCGGACAGUCUGCUUCACGGGGAGCAUCACUCUGCUCGUCCUUACUGCCGGCGAUGCGCUCCUACCCUUAAUUGGACGGGUGACUCCUUCGGUGUUGUUACUUUGAAGAAAUUAGAGUGCUCAAAGUAGGCCUACGCUUGUAUACAAUAGCAAGGGAUAUCAUGAUAGGAUUUUGAUCCUACUGUGUUGGUCUUCAGGGACAGUCACGGGCAUUCGUACUUCAUAGUCAGAGGAUUUGCGAAAGCAUUUGCUAAGGAUGUUUUCAUUAAUCAAGAACGAAAGUUAGGGCACGAUGACGAUCAGAUAUCGUCCUAGUCUCAACUAUAAAUGGUGCCAACCAGGGAUCGGUGGAUGUUGCUUUUAGGACUAUGUCAGUACCUUAUGAAAAAAACAAAGUCUUUGGGUUCCGGGGGGAGUAUGGUCGUAAAGAUGAAACUUAAAAUAAUUAACGUAAGGGCACUACCAGGAGUGAAGCCUGUGGCUUAAUUUGACUCAAGAGAGGGAAGCUUACUAGGUCCAUACAUAGCAAGGAUUGAUAUACUGAGAGUUAUUUCUUGAUUCUAUUGGUAGUAGUCCAUGGUCGUUCUUAAUUAGUGGAGCGAUUUGUCUAGUUAAUUCCGUUAAGGAACGAGACCUCAGCCUGCUAACUAGCUAUACGCAGGUGAUUCUCCAUGGCUAGCUUCUUAGAGGGACUAUAGCCGCUUAGGCCAAGGAAGUUUAGGCAAUAACAGGUCUGUGAUGCCCUUAGAUGUUCUGGGCCGCACGCGCAAUACACUGAUGUAUUGAACGAAUCUAUUUCCUUGGCCGACAGGCCUGGGAAAUAUUUGAAAUUUCAUUAUGACGUGGAUAGAUCAUUGCAAUAAUGAGGAAUUCCUAGUAAGUGCGACUCAUCAGCUCGCGUUGACUACGUGUUACCCUUUGUACACAUCGCCCGUCGGUCCUACCAAUUGAAUGAUCCGGUGAAGUGUUCAGAUCGCAGCGAUGUAUACGAUUCGCUACCCGUGACUUCGUGAGAAGUACACUAAUCCCUAUAAUUUAGAGGAAAGAGAAGUUACAAAAAGGUUUUUAUAGGUGAACCUGUGUAAG